CUAAUCGUUCUAAUCGGUGGCUUUUUUUAUUUAAUUUCUCUGUUUUUAUGCAUAAGUUUAUUCCACCACCACCAAGCUCCUAAGACUAUCAGGAUACGUGGCUUCUUCCCUUUGUUUCUUCAACAUCUCCUUGCUUACUCACCCUUGAUCAUACCGACCAGAUCCUUCCACCUUUUAUGGCCACCGCCUUAUCUCCAUCCUCUUUCUUUUUCCUGUUGACAAGGCUCCAUAAAUCCCAAUUUCCUUUCUAUUUCUCUCAACAUCAGACUCCUUGUGACACCUGAAAUCGAUUUCUUCAUGCCUCAAAUUGAUUUCAUUAGGAGGGCGGUAUGCUUGAAGUGGCGAUCUAGGUUUUAGGGUUUUUCCACUUGCUCCACUACCGUCUCCAUCUUCCUUUGCUGCCGGAAAAAAAAAUAACAACAUCAAGAAGGACCGGAAGGAGAACAUGAGGAAGAACAACCCAAGUAAUUUUCUUCUAAUUCGUCGUGUCUCCGCCCACCUAUUAAAAUCCCAUUUCCUACAGUUGAUUGGUGUUUUUUUCAGGAAAUGAUCAAUUAUGAGCUCUACAUAUCAACACCAUGGGUUUGAAUCACCACGAAUAUUUUUCAUAUGAAAAAACACUCUUUUGCAGAAAUUGGAGGAAAAUGAAAAAAGUUGUUGCAAAAAUACGUAUUUACCCCUAAUUUCUGAUAUAAUUUUGUUGUUGCCAACAAAAAUAAGGAUGAAAUUUUAUAAAGCUAACCUAUAAUGUUUGCAACCUUGCAACCAGACAUUAAAGUCAUGCUUUGUGAUCCUUAUGAACCUGAACCAUAAAAGAAAAUAAUAAAGUCACUUUACAGAAGAAUCAUGUAGAAUUUUAUUUAUUUAUUUAUUUAUUUAUUUAUUGUUUUGAAACUUAUUACUUUACUCUCUCCAGUCAUGCUUGAUUCAUCAAUGGAUAGAGAGUCACCAGAUACUAAAACUCCAUCAACAGGAACCUGUUUUUAUAACUGAUUCUUAACAUGGUGAAGAAAUAAAGAAAUUUUAGAAAGAUUAUAAAUUUCUGACCUGAUCAUUGAUUUUUAGAGGGAUUAUAUCACCCACAACAAUAUAAAAUAUUGAAAUCUCAACCCUUCUCCCACCUCUAACCACCUCCAAGUGUAUGUUUUGUUUUUCCUCAUUUACAUUUUGAAAUUGAAGUGAUUGUUUAUAAUCACUUAUGGAUACAAGAUUUUUUUGUUAAAAAAAAAAAGUAACAGACAAAAAAACAACAAUAAGAUGACACUGAUGUCACUUACAAGUUCUUCAAGUGUAAUAUUGGAAUUUGUGGUUCAUUUAUGUGGAUAUUGAAGCUCCUGAUGUUGCUUUUA